AACGAACGCUGGCGGCAUGCCUAACACAUGCAAGUCGAACGAGACCUUCGGGUCUAGUGGCGCACGGGUGCGUAACGCGUGGGAACCUGCCCUUAGGUUCGGAAUAACUCCCCGAAAGGGGUGCUAAUACCGGAUAAUGUCUUCGGACCAAAGAUUUAUCGCCUUUGGAUGGGCCCGCGUUGGAUUAGCUAGUUGGUAGGGUAAAAGCCUACCAAGGCGACGAUCCAUAGCUGGUCUGAGAGGAUGGUCAGCCACACUGGGACUGAGACACGGCCCAGACUCCUACGGGAGGCAGCAGUGGGGAAUAUUGGACAAUGGGCGAAAGCCUGAUCCAGCAAUGCCGCGUGAGUGAUGAAGGCCUUGGGGUUGUAAAGCUCUUUUACCCGGGAUGAUAAUGACAGUACCGGGAGAAUAAGCUCCGGCUAACUCCGCG
rnacentral:rRNA from 1 species